rnacentral:rRNA from 1 species
AACAAACGCUGGCGGCGUGCCUAACACAUGCAAGUCGUACGAGAAAGUCGGCUUCGGCCGAUGAGUACAGUGGCGCACGGGUGAGUAGCGCGUGGGUAAUCUGCCCCCCGGUCAGGAAUAACCCGCCGAAAGGCGGGCUAAUACCCGAUAACACUGACGCCCCGCGGAGCGUCUUUCAAAGGAGGCCUCUGUUUACAAGCUUUCGCCGGAGGAUGAGCCCGCGUACCAUUAGCUAGUUGGCAGGGUAAUGGCCUACCAAGGCUGCGAUGGUUAGCUGGUCUGAGAGGAUGGCCAGCCACACUGGAACUGAGACACGGUCCAGACUCCUACGGGAGGCAGCAGUGAGGAAUCUUGCGCAAAUGGGGGAAACCCUGACGCAGCAACGCCGCGUGAGUGAGGAAGGCCUUGGGUCGUAAAGCUCUGUCAGAGUGGGAAAGGAAAAGUAGGGGUAGGGGGGACGUAAAGUAUACGGCCCCAAUCCCGUUUCGGAACCGGUUAACCGAACUUACCGAAGAAGGGAAAGGACCGAACCCGGGACCUAAACCGUCCCGGUACCGG